rnacentral:rRNA from 1 species
GACAGAGGUGCCGAGCGUUAGGCGGAAUCACUGGGCUUAAAGCGUGUGUAGGCGGGUCCGUAAGUACCUUGUGAAAUCCCACGGCUCAACCGUGGAACUGCUUGGUAUACUGCGGGUCUUGAGCCACCUAGGGGCAAGCGGAACAAACGGUGGAGCGGUGAAAUGCGUAGAUAUCGUUUGGAACGCCAAUGGUGAAAACAGCUUGCUGGGGUGUGCUGACGCUGAGACACGAAAGCCAGGGGAGCAAACGGG